GUUUGCACUUGUCGGGGAAGGGUGAGUGCCUUCGAUUAAGGUUCGACUCGAGCGAAAGCGAGAGAACGUUGCCAACGGCAACGACCCGAAGGGUGAGAAGCGAAGCGACGAAUAAUCCUUCCCCCACCACCA
rnacentral:sRNA from 2 species